rnacentral:rRNA from 1 species
CCUACGGGUGGCAGCAGUGGGGAAUCUUGGACAAUGGGCGCAAGCCUGAUCCAGCCAUGCCGCGUGAGUGACGAAGGCCUUAGGGUUGUAAAGCUCUUUUAGCAGGGAAGCGGUACCUGCAGAAUAAGCCCCGGCUAACUUCGUGCCAGCAGCCGCGGUGAUACGAAGGGGGCUAGCGUUGUUCGGAAUUACUGGGCGUAAAGCGCAUGUAGGCGGAUCAUUUAGUCAGGGGUGAAAUCCCGGGGCUCAACCUCGGAACUGCCUUUGAUACUGAUGGUCUCGAGUCCGAUAGAGGUGAGUGGAAUUCCUAGUGUAGAGGUGAAAUUCGUAGAUAUUAGGAAGAACACCAGUGGCGAAGGCGGCUCACUGGAUCGGACUGACGCUGAGGUGCGAAAGCGUGGGGAGCAAACAGGAUUAGAUACCCUUGUUGUC